rnacentral:rRNA from 1 species
GAUGAACGCUGGCGGCGUGCCUAAUACAUGCAAGUCGAGCGAACGGACGAGAAGCUUGCUUCUCUGAUGUUAGCGGCGGACGGGUGAGUAACACGUGGAUAACCUACCUAUAAGACUGGGAUAACUUCGGGAAACCGGAGCUAGUACCGGAUAAUAUUUUGAACCGCAUGGUUCAAAAGUGAAAGACGGUCUUGCUGUCACUUAUAGAUGGGUCCGCGCUGCAUUAGCUAGUUGCUAAGGUAACGGCUUACCAAGGCAACGAUGCAUAGCCGACCUGAGAGGGUGAUCGGCCACACUGGAACUGAGACACGGUCCAGACUCCUACGGGAGGCAGCAGUAGGGAAUCUUCCGCAAUGGGCGAAAGCCUGACGGAGCAACGCCGCGUGAGUGAUGAAGGUCUUCGGAUCGUAAAACUCUGUUAUUAGGGAAGAACAUAUGUGUAAGUAACUGUGCACAUCUUGACGGUACCUAAUCAGAAAGCCACGGCUAACUACGUG